CGGCUGGUGGAGAUGCGCGUGGAGUGACCAGGGGAGGCGGGGAGGAGGAGCGUACUGCGGCAGGUGGAUGUCAACUGUGGCGUUAGGGGUCCCAGCUGCUGUGUCCAACGUGUUCAAUAUGAAGUUACUAGUAAUUCUUUCAUUUUGGGGACUUGUUGCUGGCUACAGAGGUAACUCUUCCUAUAGCUCGGCACCUCAGUUACUUCUGGUAUCCUUUGAUGGCUUUAGAGCUGACUACCUGAACAACUAUGACCUUCCUCACCUCCAGAACUUUAUCAAAGAAGGUGUCUUGGUGGAACACGUUAAAAAUGUUUUUAUCACAAAAACAUUUCCAAACCACUACAGCAUUGUGACAGGCUUAUAUGAGGAAAGCCAUGGCAUUGUGGCCAACUCCAUGUAUGAUGACGUCACAAAGAAACAUUUUUCUGAAUCCAAUGAUAAGGAUCCGUUUUGGUGGAAUGGGGCAGUGCCUAUUUGGGUGAC
rnacentral:lncRNA from 1 species